AUAGGGUCAGAGUCUACCCGUAGCUUUUGUCCUGUUCACGUUUGGCCUUCAACUCUUCAACUCCUUUUUACCCUCGUUAUAAUCCCCCCCAAACAACAAAUCAUUCUCUUCAUCAUCUCUCUCUCUCUCUCUCUCUCUCUCUCUCUCUCUCUCUCUCUCUCUCUCUCUCUCUCUCUCUCUCUCUCUCUCUCUUAAUUUCCUUCUCCUCCCCCUAGAAGAAAGGCGAAAGUCUUGGGGGAUAAAAGGAUAAGAGAGGGACAGAGAGAAAACUACACCAAUAAUUUUUUUUAAAAAAACUCCUAAUAAUCAAGAAAGGGAGCUUUUCUAUUGUGGGGAAUGUUGUCUGGCUCGAGGAAUUUUUAAUCUUGAUCAAAUUCUUUACACAGAUCUAUUAUUAUAUAUGUUCUAUAAUUUCUUUUAGAUCUUAUGUAGAUCUAUAAAUGUUUGUUGUUAGAUCUAUGAAUUUUGAUCAUAUUUUUUUGCUUCGUCGGACCAGGCUUCAUUCCCCUCAAAGAUUGCUGCCAUAUAUUAGUAUCGCGAUUAAGAUCUUUUUUGGUAUACAAAUAAGGUGAGGCCCAUGUUGAAUUUCUUUUUAGUUUUCUGUUUAUUUUAUUUGUUUAUCAGUUAUAAGUGCUAUAUUCAACAUUUGGGACAAAUUUGUACUUGUUUAUUAACCUAGUUUGGUAUGUCCGUUAUAUAUCUGCAGAUUGGUGUAAUGAUAAGGAUCUUGACUUUAGUCUUGAGUUCUGAUUCUCAUUUUCAUCAUUACAUCCUUUUUACAUACUCUUUGUUUCAUAACCUUAGGUUUCUUUUGUCAGUAAAUAAGACAUAUACACUGUUUUUCAUCAUUGUGUUAUGAUUGUAGUCAAGAUGGCUUUUUUUGGUCUCUUUCUGCAAAAUUUUCAGAUCUGUUUUCUGGCUUUCAACUUUGCUCAAAACCCUUUCUUCUUUUAAUUUUCUGCACAAAGGCGCGCACACACUCUCUCACUCUCUCUCUCUCUCUCUCUCACACACACGCACACCAGAUUGGGGUUUAUGUUAUCGAGAUGCUAUCUUUAUAACCUUUUUAUCUAACUUGUUUUACAGUGCAAUGUCUGAGUAUUUAUUUAGAUCUCACGGUACUAUUUUGAUAAUUUCAAGAUUUGUUGUAUUACCUAUAUGACCAUAAGUUUUUAUUUUAUUCCUCAAGUUUACAUUCUUUUACUGUAUGGCCAGACUAAUGAGUUUUGUUUGUGUACUGUUGGUGUAAAGUCUAUGUGCAUUGGCUUUAAGUUUAGGCUUGUUCUUAAACCUUAUGAAACAGACUCUCAUAUAAGUGGUGCAUUUUGCAGUUUUAUCGUCAACUUGAAGGCACAUGUAACAACUGAUUGCUCUAUUGGUUAAUCUUAUAUUCAUUCACAGUUAAUCCUUUACACUAUCAGUAAAAUUUUGCUUGUUUUUAAAAUGCUACUUGUCUUAUUUUGCAGGUUCUUAAUACCACUGACUAUGAGUAGCUUUAAAUACAAAAUAUAUUAUACUUUCAAUGCGAAGAAGUUAACCCUGAGAACACUACUUCUAGCGGUUGUAUAUGGAAAAGUAUUUGCUACUGCAUUUUUGUUGCUAUGGUGCAGUACUGUUGAGUAUUUAGUGAUUGUUAUUUUUUUGGUAUGCAAACAGGACUAGGUUUAAUUAUUCUUAUAGCUCUUAGGUUUAAGUUGAGAAAACAAGAGAGGAAAGUCAUUAAUGAAUACAAUGAAAAACAUCUGACUGGAAAUGAAGUAAAUGAAUGAUAUAAAAAGGUGAGGUAGACAUCCUGCUGAGAAAAAAGAUAGGCUAUGUAAACCUAUAGGACAGGUAACAACAAUUAAGUGUAGGCUUUCGACUGCCUCCUACAUUUUAAGAAAAAACAAAACAAAGUUCAUUAAGAAUCUAGAAAACCUACAUUUCUGAAGUAGUAAUAACUUAGUCACAUUUAAAUUAUUAAUGAUGAAUCUUUCAAGAAAUUAUGCAAUCAUCUUUUUAUUGGUGUUUAUCACAAUAUUUGAAUGAAAGUGCAUUGCCGUUUCUUCAUGCUCUUUCAGCAACAGCAAAAGGUAGUGUUGGGCUUUGAACUGAUAAAAAAGGCAGUUCGUUUGCACGAAAUAUCCGCGUUCAUGCAGUAUUCAGGGAAAAGUCGUAUCCUAACGUCCUAAGGGGUGUGAUGUAGGCGAUAUCAGUGGCUGAUCAAGAAAUUGUUAGAAAAUGACUUAUAAGGGAAAGACUUGGUGAUUUUGAAUCUUUUUGACUUUGCAAGCUUGAAAGUGGGAACGUUAGCUUUUGUGUUACUAAUUUUUUACACACAUACACACUCGCAAAGAAAGUUAGCUCGAUUUUGAUGCAUGAAUUGUCCAUUCGUUGACUAUUUACUACAUUGUCCGUAGUAUUAAAGAAAAGCUUUGAGAGUAUAACACAUAAACUAUGCCUGUACCCAUUAGUUGCAGCAUAAAGGAUACUGAUCUAUCAAUCCACUGGGGAAAAUCACGAGGUAAGGUGAGAUGGCACAACGGCAGCGAGACGAGGAAAGGCACAUAAUUAGAAGGGUCUGUUUCUUUGUUUAUUUAUGAGCUAAUUGAUUUUAAGUUCUGUUUUUGUUUAUUCAAUAUUAUGCAACUUUUAUUAUUACCACAAAAUGUGGUAUCAUAAAGAACACCGAAUAUGGGUGUGUUAGCCUUGAAUUUGGAUAAGAUAGAAAAAAGUUUUUCUCUUCUAUUUAUUAAAAGUGAGUUUUUUAUACCACAUUUAAGAUUUACUCAUUA
rnacentral:lncRNA from 1 species